rnacentral:misc_RNA from 1 species
UUUCCGUAGGUGAACUUGCGGAAGGAUCAUUAAAGAAUUGCCCCGUCUUCUCGAAGAUGGGUUCUAUUCCAACUCGUGUUUACAUACCUUUGUUGCUUUUGCGGGCCACCGCUUCGGAGUUGGCUCCGGCUGACAGCGUCCGCCAAAGGACCACAACUCUUUUGUUUAGUAAUGUCUGAGUACUAUAUAAUAGUUAAAACUUUCAACAACGGAUCUCUUGGUUCUG